UACGUAGGGGGCUAGCGUUGUCCGGAAUCAUUGGGCGUAAAGAGCGUGUAGGCGGCCCGGUAAGUCCGCUGUGAAAGUCGGGGGCUCAACCCUCGAAUGCCGGUGGAUACUGUCGGGCUAGAGUGCGGAAGAGGCGAGUGGAAUUCCUGGUGUAGCGGUGAAAUGCGCAGAUAUCAGGAGGAACACCAAUUGCGAAGGCAACUCGCUGGGACGUAACUGACGCUGAGACGCGAAAGCGUGGGGAGCAAACAGG
rnacentral:rRNA from 1 species